rnacentral:piRNA from 1 species
UGCAUUGGUUGGUAAAGUGCUAGGCUUAGG